UCCUACAGGAGAAGUUAGUUGCCA
rnacentral:piRNA from 1 species